AACGGCGCGUGAAUAUGAAAAACCAUCCAUUGAUACAAGCAGGGUACUUACUGUAGUACAUGUAAGCACACACUUGUUGUUUAAGUAAAGGUUUCAUAUUGUAUGACGAAUAUUUGCUUCGGUAUUUCAAGGAUUUACCACACAACUGCGCGUUGAUAACUGUCGGAAGAGAAAAAGAAGAAGAGUGUAUACUUACUAACAGUGCAUACUGUGUAUAUACUGAGUGUAUACUUCCUAGAACUAUAUUUAUCGAAUUACGGUUACAGGGACAUGGACAGCGAACGAAGGCUUUAACCCAUUUAAAGUAUAUCAAAAAAAAAAAAAUUGUUGUGAGUUUCGCAAAGUACAUUAAUGUCAUUCUACAUAUUAGAUUAGGAACGCUUCAAUAGCAUUUUAGUGAAGAAAAAAGUAUGCGCUUGAAACCCUAACAAAAAGACGCCGCUCUAUCAUUUUCUGGUGGGUACACAAAGCACAAGUACUGUCAAUAUUUAUAAUUUAAUUGCAUAUUCGCAUGCCACACGUACAUCACAAAAGAAAUAUUAAACACGUUAAAGACAAGUCUACGUUUGAAAACAUGGUUUACCUGUUAAUUCACGGUUCUGUUUAAAAUCGCGCAAAGGCUGAAUUUGAGCCAUGCACGAAAUGUCCAUUCAACAAACUUUGGCCAAACUCAAUAUAAAUUAAUGUAUUAAUCCACUGAUUUUCUUUUCUUUUCAAAUUAGAAUAAAAGGAUUUAAUGAACACAAAUCAUCUGGAAUUUAUAUUUACUUUAAUGAAAAAUCCUGAAAGAACAAAACAGAAAAGAAUGAAUAGGCCUAUUCUUAAUCUUUUAUUCCUCAUUGACAGCAUUUAUCGUAGUGAAGAUAUCAAAAGCACUUUUUUAUUGUUUUUAAAACAGAAAUCGAACAAUAGCUACUUGCUAUUUAUGCGUUAUAAUUGAUGCUUUUAUUUUCUUGUUAGGCUAUAUGUAUUAUAUUUCAUUUAAAAUUCGCAUUUAUUUGGUUAUGUAUGUUUUUGUGAUGCCUUGACAAUUAAAAAAAAAAAGGAAAUCUUGAAAUGUACCAUGUUUUCCACUGAGCGGCGCUACGCCCUAAUAAAAUCUCCUAGGUUGGAGAGAAAUCUUGAAGAAUUGUGCUGCUUUUUUCUGUUUCUUUAACGUUAACGACGACUCUUUUAGCUCUUUUAACCAAGAAAAAAGCGUGAGAAAAUAUACAGAUCUCAAGGACUAAUAUAUUCAGAUUUUGUGCACUUUUUUCUUUUAAAUUUAUUGCAAAAUUUCUAGCAAGCAGUCAGAUUCUCUUGCACUCAACGCAUUGAUCUGUAAAACGACGGAGCUCCCAGUGAACAGCACGUGAAACAUCAGAUAAGCAGAUCCUGUACACUUUAUUGUCGUUUGGACAGCAGUAGCAGAGGCAGAUCAUUUCCCAUCUGUCAAGUCAACCAUGGCAAAUCAUGGUUAGAAAGUGUAUUGUGUACGUUUUGAUCUAGAUGUUAACAAAAGAUGGGAAGCAUAUGAGACCUCUCAUAAAAGAGAUUUAAUCUAUAGAUCCAUCUCAUGUCUUCCAAUUCUAAGGCCAAAAAAAUCUGGCAAUAUCUAUAGAAAUUCAUUUGCACUGGAUGAUUCGGUGGAAGCAACUACAUACAGUGAAGAUUUCUGCUGGAAGCCUGUGUCAAAGACAGCUUGCAUAAGGUCUGCCACAGCAUCAGGAAACCGAAGGUACAAUCCACACCCAAGCCAGGCGUUCAUGGUAUGGAGGCAUUCUGCAGAUCAAAUGAAAUGUUUUAGUGGUAGUUCCCCUCUUCAGCUCCCUUUGACUGAGAAGGAAAUCUAAAAGGCUGUAAGUGCCCAGUACAGGUCGACCUACAGGACUGACUUUCUUGGAUUACCUCAAGGAAUUAUGAAAAACCAUGCGACCUUUGCACCUUGUAACCGCAGCCAUGUUGUCCACUACUAUACCUAGACUGAAAUAAGACAUAACUACCACCCACCCAAACUGAAACUUGAGCUUCUGGGGAACAACUCUCGCUAUGGGUGCAAUAAGCUGCAUGGUGUAGCAGCGAGGG